rnacentral:lncRNA from 1 species
GCCCCUGGAGAAUUGUGGAUGACUGUGGCGGUGCCUUUACCAUGGGUACCAUAGGUGGUGGCAUCUUCCAGGCCUUCAAAGGUUUUCGAAAUUCUCCAGUGGGAGUAAACCACAGACUCCGAGGGAGUUUAACAGCUAUUAAAACCAGGGCCCCACAAUUGGGAGGCUUGUUGUUUUUUGCUUGUAUUGUUUAUAAAACAGGUAGCUUUGCAGUUUGGGGAGGCCUGUUUUCCACGAUUGACUGUGGUAUGGUUCAGAUAAGAGGCAAAGAAGACCCCUGGAACUCCAUCACUAGCGGUGCCUUAACAGGAGCCAUCCUGGCAGCAAGAAAUGGACCGGUAGCCAUGGUUGGGUCAGCUGCGAUGGGCGGCAUUCUCCUAGCUUUAAUUGAAGGAGCUGGUAUCCUGUUGACCAGGUUUGCCUCUGCACAGUUUCCUAAUGGCCCUCAGUUUGCUGAAGACCACUCCCAGUUGCCUUCAAGCCAGUUGCCGUCCUCACCAUUUGGAGACUACCGACAGUAUCAGUAGGACUUGGUCCCCAGGAUUCCUGGACCUGGGUGGACUGCAGUUUGGUAGGGUUUCAGAAGAUCAAGUUACAGUCUGUUGAAAGCCUUAGGUGGGACACCGGCGGCCAAGCAGGCCAUCAAGAGACAUUUAGCACAUUUUUCUAUUUAAAAGAGACUCAGAGUGUGGAAAAGAUACCGAGUUUAUUUAUUCAUGCUUGGAUUGCAUCUGUGAUCAAAAUAAAUGUCUAAUACCAUUUAAAGAAUGUAUAUGAACUUAGAAGAUAAAGGACCAAAGGCCACAUAACAGUGAAACUCGACUGUCCUUCCUUCGGGACUUCUCUGCCUGGUGUUUAUGUACAGUUGUUCAGACAAUAAAAGGCUUCUGGGACUUGACCUUUCCUUUAAAGUCAUAGUUCUGCCUUUCAUACUGAGCAGACUUCAGAUAGCGCAUGCUUAUGCCAAUCCGGCAGUUUACGGGAAGUGGAUUAUGUGAGGACUAUGUAAUCAGCAUGAAUCAUUACACGGGAUUGUAAGGAU